AAAAACAUCUACAACUGUCCACAUCUAAUGUUGAGGCUGAGGAGCAGAGCCGAUCCGGUGUCCUCGGUGCUCUUGUAAAGCGCACACCACACAGAUGAUCUCCUCGUCGGUGCAGCAGUAAACAUCCCGCGGGCCGUCGUGUCUGCGGCACCGAGCGCUCCCCUCGGUCCCGGAGUCAGCGCGGCUCCGGCGGGGUCUCUGCGGGGCCAGUCCCGGUCCAUCCUGCUGCUGCUGCUGCCUCCUCUGCGCGUCCCUCAGCAGCUCGGACAGAGAGGAGUUCAUGACUCGGGACAGCUGCACGGACAGAUGUCCCUCUGCUCCUGGUACCAGCGUCUGCAGAAGUUCUUCCCGCGCCCGAAGUGAAGCGAUCGACACCGACAGGAGCGGCAGAAGUUUACUUUCACUUCCUCAGUCUGUAGUCAGGAAGUGAGUGGGUGUGUCCGAAGUUUCAAAACAAAACAAAAAGCCCAUUGGUGGUGGUGAUGUGGGGUCCUCAUGCUUAAGAGAGAUCGACUGAUUAAUCGGUUGCUCGAUAUAAUCAGUCAUAUGAGCCCCAUCUGUUUUGGAUUUUAUGUUUUGCAGAUAUGCAACGAUAAGAAAACGUACACAAUCUCACUCUGUGUUUAAAAACAGGCAUUAGGACAGCCCCUCUCGAAAGGAAAUGCUCACUCAGAUAUUUUCAUGUUGAAUUGAUUAUGUACUAAUUGAUGACAAGCAGGGGUUAGGCCCACACUAAAUAGAUCCUGGUUGCAAUUAUAUCCAGUAUAGAAGAAGUGUACUCAUUUUAUAAAGUAGCAUGACACCAUUAUGACAAAGCAUCUAGUUUGAACCAGAAAGCAGGUGGAGAAAGCUCCUGAUUGGCUGAAAGGGCACAAGCAGAGACGAGGGUGGGCACAAUGAGUUGAAGGUUUGAAGCUCAUCCUUCCUCAUACUGUUUUUUUCUCUGCAAAACAGUAAAUUAUUUUAUCUUAUAUGUUUAUGUCAAGAAGAAUCAUACAAGCAUUUCAGUACACGUCAGUGUGUAUAGUUGGUGUAUGUGAUAAAAGAAUAUUAUUUUUUUUAAACGCACAGAGACACUGCCCUCUGCUGGAAUGUUUGGAACUACUGAAGUUUGGAAAAGACGGUUCGCUGCUCAGGCCCUAAAGAGAAAAAUAAAUGCAAACACGAACGGCAGUAUACUUUUAUUACAGUAUUGAAGUCGUAAACUUGACAAAGCCAUGAUAAAUAAGUCUCGCAAUAUACAUGUAUUCUCUUUUCCUUAAUCUUCAUAGUAAAACAAACAAAAUGCCAAAUAGUAGAAAAACUAAAUACAGAGGAAAAUGGUUAACUGGCAACUUUUUAUUUUCCCCCCCAAUUGAGUUUUUCACUUAAGGUAACACUCAUCUCAAACCAGAGCUUUGAUGAUUCUUUUUCUUUCACAGAAUCAAAUUAUGGCAACAUACAAACGCUUUUAACAAAGUUCAUCAAAAAUACUCUAAAAACGCAAAAAUUCAAGCCUGUACGUUCAUGUCUAGAUGGUCCCAGGGCAAAGAUGUGUAGGCAGCCCACAGGUGAGGCGCAGAAAAAUGCUGAUUAAAUUGAAAUAACUUGUAAAUGCAACAGAAUAAAAACAGUUUGUUUAUAUA